rnacentral:rRNA from 1 species
UACAGAGGGUGCGAGCGUUGUCCGGAAUCACUGGGCGUAAAGGGCGCGUAGGUGGCCUGGUAAGUAGGGGGUGAAAUCUCGUGGCUCAACUGCGAGGCUGCCUCCUAAACUGUCAGGCUCGAGCAGAGUAGAGGCAGGUGGAAUUCCCGGUGUAGCGGUGGAAUGCGUAGAGAUCGGGAAGAACAUCGGUGGCGAAGGCGGCCUGCUGGGCUCUUGCUGACACUGAGGCGCGAAAGCGUGGGGAGCAAACAGG